ACUCCUACGGGAGGCAGCAGUGGGGAAUAUUGCACAAUGGGCGCAAGCCUGAUGCAGCCAUGCCGCGUGUAUGAAGAAGGCCUUCGGGUUGUAAAGUACUUUCAGCGGGGAGGAAGGCGAUAAGGUUAAUAACCUUGUUGAUUGACGUUACCCGCAGAAGAAGCACCGGCUAACUCCGUGCCAGCAGCCGCGGUAAUACGGAGGGUGCAAGCGUUAAUCGGAAUUACUGGGCGUAAAGCGCACGCAGGCGGUCUGUCAAGUCGGAUGUGAAAUCCCCGGGCUCAACCUGGGAACUGCAUUCGAAACUGGCAGGCUAGAGUCUUGUAGAGGGGGGUAGAAUUCCAGGUGUAGCGGUGAAAUGCGUAGAGAUCUGGAGGAAUACCGGUGGUGAAGGCGGCCCCCUGGACAAAGACUGACGCUCAGGUGCGAAAGCGUGGGGAGCAAACAGGAUUAGAAACCCCAGUAGUCCCAUGA
rnacentral:rRNA from 1 species